CCUACGGGAGGCAGCAGUGAGGAAUAUUGGUCAAUGGGCGAGAGCCUGAACCAGCCAAGUCGCGUGAAGGAUGACGGCCCUACGGGUUGUAAACUUCUUUUGUCAGGGAGCAAUUGGGUCCACGCGUGGGCUUAGCGAGAGUACCUGAAGAAAAAGCAUCGGCUAACUCCGUGCCAGCAGCCGGGGUAAUACGGAGGCUGCGUGCGUUAUCCGGAUUUAUUGGGUUUAAAGGGUGCGUAGGCGGAAUAUCAAGUCAGCGGGAAAAAUUAGGGGCUCAACCCCGUCGUGCCGUUGAAACUGAUGUUCUUGAGUGGGCGAGAAGUAUGCGGAAUGCGUGGUGUAGCGGUGAAAUGCAUAGAUAUCACGCAGAACUCCGAUUGCGAAGGCAGCAUACCGGCGCCCAACUGACGCUGAAGCACGAAAGCGUGGGUAUCGAACAGGAUUAGAUACCCCAGUAGUC
rnacentral:rRNA from 1 species